AUAAAUCUGAAAAAUAAUAAGUUGUAAUGAUUAAUAAGCAUUUAAAUGUAUAAUUUUUAAGGGUGAACCAGAAGAGUUUAUAUUAUAUAGAUUAUAUAGAAGAGGUUAUAUUAUAUAGAUAUAUAUAUAUUAUAUUAUAUAGAAAAAGAAACAGAACUCUAGAAAUCGGGUCAGAUAAGAUAACCUGGAAAGUCCAUGGCUGAUGGGGGCAAUUUAAAAAGGAGCUCUAUAUUCCGGCAAUCAGCAAGUACCAGGCACAUAAAAGGCAGGCCCGUAAAUGAAAUGCAAAUUCUUAUCUAAAAGUGCAAAGACCCAAAGAUCGGUUGUAUUUUUCUUUUUUUUUUUUUUGUGUUUAUUUGUGCCCGUGUCUGUUGUGACUAAAAAUAUGCCGUAUAUGUACACUAUACUCGAAUAGAAAAAAAACCAGAUCAACAAAUAGAACUUCUUAUGGCGCGCCAAAUUGUCUCUGAAGCUAAAAUGUCAGCGAGUUUAAGAGCUUAUUUGGAUGUGAUUGUAAAUAAUUUGCAGAAAACUAUAAGAUUAUUAAAAUAGAAACAAAAUUUAUUGUAGCAAGUCAUGAUUUGAAAGUACUAUUAAUAUUUUCAUGAUUUUAAAAAUUAUACAAACGGAGAAUAUUUUUUAAAAAGGACUUCUUGGAUAACAAGCUCACUAUAUUAUACCCGCUAUAAGGACAAAAGGACCAGACUUUCAAAUGGAUUGCAAAAUGUUUUUGUUUCUCACGGAACUGGCUUGGAAGAAUCGCCUUACUAUCCCCGUUUUAGUUUUUACAGCGUUUAUUUUAAUGGAUCUACGUAUGGAGGUUGGACCCAGGAUGACCAUUAUAACUGUCAGAUCUCCCACAUUAGGAUAAUAAAAACAUAUAUUAGUUAAAA